rnacentral:misc_RNA from 1 species
GAUGAAGAACGUAGCGAAAUGCGAUAAGUAAUGUGAAUUGCAGAAUUCAGUGAAUCAUCGAAUCUUUGAACGCACAUUGCGCCCGCCAGCAUUCUGGCGGGCAUGCUUGUUCGAGCGUCAUUUCAACCCUCGAGCCCCCCCGGGGGCCUCGGUGUUGGGGGACGGCACACCAGCCGCCCCCGAAAUGCAGUGGCGACCCCGCCGCAGCCUCCCCUGCGUAGUAGCACACACCUCGCACCGGAGCGCGGAGGCGGUCACGCCGUAAAACGCCCAACUUUCUUAGAGUUGACCUCGGAUCAGGUAGGAAUACCCGCUGAACUUAAGCAUAUCAAUAAGCGGAGGA